rnacentral:rRNA from 1 species
CAAAAACAUCUUUUCUUGUUAGUUUUUGAAGUAUGGCCUGCCCACUGACAUUUAUUGGUUGAAGGGCCGCGGUAUUUUGACCGUGCAAAGGUAGCAUAAUCAUUAGUUCUUUAAUUGUGAUCUGGUAUGAAUGGCUUGAUGAGACAUGGGCUGUCUUAGGGGUAUUGAUUCAGGUUUGUAUUGAAUUUAUUUUUUGAGUUAAAAUUCUUAGAUGUUUUAAUGGGACGAGAAGACCCUAUAGAGUUUUACAUUUUUCUUAUUUUGUGUUAAGUGUUUGUUUUGAUUUUAAAUUAAGUUAAGUGUUUUGGUGGGGUGAUGGGAGGAAUUUAUUUAACUCCUCUUUGGUUAGGGUAUAUUUAUUUAUAUUUGUUGAUCCAUUUAUUUUGAUUAUAAGAUUAAAUUACCUU